AUUGAACGCUGGCGGCAGGCUUAACACAUGCAAGUCGAGCGGGGUGAGGUGCUUCGGUACUGAUCCUAGCGGCGGACGGGUGAGUAAUGCUUAGGAAUCUGCCAUUUAGUGGGGGACAACAUUCCGAAAGGAAUGCUAAUACCGCAUACGUCCUACGGGAGAAAGCAGGGGAUCUUCGGACCUUGCGCUAAAUGAUGAGCCUAAGUCGGAUUAGCUAGUUGGUGGGGUAAAGGCCUACCAAGGCGACGAUCUGUAGCGGGUCUGAGAGGAUGAUCCGCCACACUGGGACUGAGACACGGCCCAGACUCCUACGGGAGGCAGCAGUGGGGAAUAUUGGACAAUGGGCGGAAGCCUGAUCCAGCCAUGCCGCGUGUGUGAAGAAGGCCUUUUGGUUGUAAAGCACUUUAAGCGAGGAGGAGGCUACCGAGAUUAAUACUCUUGGAUAGUGGACGUUACUCGCAGAAUAAGCACCGGCUAACUCUGUGCCAGCAGCCGCCGUAACAC
rnacentral:rRNA from 1 species